CCUACGGGAGGCUGCAGUGGGGAAUAUUGGGCAAUGGGCGCAAGCCUGACCCAGCAAUGCCGCGUGAAGGAAGAAGGCUUUCGGGUUGUAAACUUCUUUGACAGGGGAAGAGCAGAAGACGGUACCCUGAAAACAAGCCACGGCUAACUACGUGCCAGCAGCCGCGGUAAUACGUAGGUGGCAAGCGUUGUCCGGAUUUACUGGGUGUAAAGGGCGUGUAGCCGGGAAGGCAAGUCAGAUGUGAAAUCUGGAGGCUCAACCUCCAAAUUGCAUUUGAAACUGUUUUUCUUGAGUACUGGAGAGGCAGACGGAAUUCCUUGUGUAGCGGUGAAAUGCGUAGAUAUAAGGAGGAACACCAGUGGCGAAGGCGGUCUACUGGACUGUAACUGACGUUGAGGCUCGAAGGCGUGGGGAGCAAACAGGAUUAGAUACCCCGGUAGUC
rnacentral:rRNA from 1 species